UACGGGGAGUGCAAGCGUUGUUCGGAAUCAUUGGGCGUAAAGCGCGUGUAGGCGGCCUGGUAAGUUCGGUGUGAAAGCCCUCGGCUCAACCGAGGAAGUGCAUCGGAUACUGCCCGGCUUGAGUGCGGGAGGGGAGAGCGGAAUUCCCAGUGUAGAGGUGAAAUUCGUAGAUAUUGGGAGGAACACCAGUGGCGAAGGCGGCUCUCUGGACCGACACUGACGCUGAGACGCGAAAGCGUGGGUAGCAAACAGGAUUAGAAACCCCGGUAGU
rnacentral:rRNA from 1 species